rnacentral:rRNA from 1 species
AGGACGAACGCUGGCGGCGUGCUUAACACAUGCAAGUCGAGCGGUAAGGCCCUUCGGGGUACACGAGCGGCGAACGGGUGAGUAACACGUGGGUGACCUGCCCCCUACUCUGGGAUAAGCCUGGGAAACUGGGUCUAAUACCGGAUAUGACAUAGUCCUGCAUGGGGUUGUGUGGAAAGUUCUUCGGUGGGGGAUGGGCCCGCGGCCUAUCAGCUUGUUGGUGGGGUGAUGGCCUACCAAGGCGACGACGAGUA